rnacentral:misc_RNA from 1 species
UGGCUCUGGCAUCGAUGAAGAACGCAGCGAAAUGCGAUAAGUAAUGUGAAUUGCAGAAUUCAGUGAAUCAUCGAAUCUUUGAACGCACAUUGCGCCCCUUGGUAUUCCGAGGGGCAUGCCUAUUCGAGCGUCAUUUAUCAACCCCUCAAGCCUGGCUUGGUGUUGGGGCCUGCCGUGACGGCAGCCCCUAAAAUCAGUGGCAGUGCCGGCUGGCCCUACGCGCAGUAAACCUCUCGCUAUUGGGUCCCGCCGGACGCGCGCCAGAACCACCCCUCUCUUCAUGAUUGACCUCGGAUUAGGUAGGGAUACCCGCUGA